UCCCAGGUGACUAAAUGGUAAAAAAUCUGCCUGCCAAGCAGGAAACACGGGUUUGAUCCCUAGCUUGGGAA
rnacentral:tRNA from 1 species